GAAUUAAGUAUGUGGAGAUAGCUGUUUAGAAAGAAAAUGAAGCAAAGGUGAGCUUUCACGAAAAUGUGACAUUCGUCCGAGAACCGCCUUCUACUUUAUAAGGCCGUGGAACGCUAAAGCAUGAAUCAUCGCGCUAAGGAAGCGAGAUAUGUAUGUUGCAUGAGGAGUAUUAUAUUAUAAGUAAUGUAGCUAGAUGGAUACAGGUCACAUGUUCAAGGAAAACAUGGUAGAUCCCAUGGCUGAUAUAAAACACAACUGGUGCCUUCAUGUUUCAUGGAUUAAAUUACAAAUAUCUACUCGUCGUUUCGUAUAAUUAGAUUGAGUUUACUACAUUUUCUCUUGUUUCCGACAAAAAUAUUUGCGUUGAGUUGAAGUAUGUUUACGGUUCACCUGACAUGGUUCACCUUUGAUGUUUAAAUGGGUUAGCGAACAUAUUUUGAGGUCAUAACUGAAACCCCAUAUUGCCUGCGUGAUCGAAUCUUAAAGGUCAGAGUAAACUAUACAAGUAUUAACAGGGCCUGAUAUUUAGAGGGUGGCUAAUUAUGCUCGUUUGAUUAUUUUAGCAUUUCAAAAUUCAGUACGUUCGACAUAAUACGCGCUAGUUCAUUACGCAUAAUUUAACUAGAUACGCAAGUUGAUAGAACAUUAAAUCGGAACUAAAUAUGGUAAUUACGGCGGCGCAUCUAAUAUGCUAAUGACAAUUAAUACAAUAUUGAUAUAUGUUCGGAGUGCACACAAUGUUUACAAAAUGUACCAGAGCGCACUGCUUUCGGUCAUAAAUCAGUACAAAAAAACCGUGAAUAUCGUUAUUCUAAAUCGGGAUCGUCACCUGGACUGGCCUCCAUCGUUUGCAUCCUUAGAGCCAGACGAAAUUGACGUUACGUUGCGACAAGGCGCGUAGUCAUAGUUGCGAAGCGACAUCUUUGAACUUUCGUGAAAGCUUACCUCUCCGUUAAGGAAACAGUACAACACGGCCACGAAAA